rnacentral:rRNA from 1 species
ACUGCUCAGUAACACGUGGACAACCUACCCUACGGAGGGGGAUAACCCCGGGAAACUGGGGAUAAUACCCCAUAGACUAUGGAUGCUGGAAUGCUCUGUAGCCGAAAGGUCUGCCGCCGUAGGAUGGGUCUGCGGCCGAUUAGGUUGUUGUUGGGGUAACGGCCCAACAAGCCUGUAAUCGGUACGGGUUGUGGGAGCAAGAGCCCGGAGAUGGAUUCUGAGACACGAAUCCAGGCCCUACGGGGCGCAGCAGGCGCGAAAACUUUGCAAUGCGGGAAACCGUGACAAGGGAACUCUGAGUGCCCGUAAAAUCGGGCUGUCCAUCGGUUUAAAUAACCGGUGAAGAAAGGGCCGGGCAAGACCGGUGCCAGCCGCCGCGGUAAUACCGGCGGCUCGAGUGGUGGCCACUAUUACUGGGCUUAAAGCGUUCGUAGCUGGUUUGUUAAGUCUCUGGGGAAAUCUUCCGGCUUAACCGGAAGGCGGCUCAGGGAUACUGGCAGACUAGGGACCGGGAGAGGUGAGAGGUACUCCAGGGGUAGGAGUGAAAUCCUGUAAUCCUUGGGGGACCACCUGUGGCGAAGGCGUCUCACCAGAACGGCUCCGACAGUGAGGGACGAAAGCUGGGGGAGCAAACCGGAUUANAUACCCGGGUAGUCCCAGCUGUAAACGAUGCGCGUUAGGUGUAUCGGUGACCACGAGUCACCGAGGUGCCGAAGAGAAAUCGUGAAACGUGCCGCCUGGGAAGUACGGUCGCAAGGCUGAAACUUAAAGGAAUUGGCGGGGGAGCAC